AAGGAAUUAGUUUAAAUAAAACAUUAACUUGUCAAGUUAAAGAUAUUAAUUUAUAAUAUACCUUA
rnacentral:tRNA from 1 species